UACGUAGGGGGCAAGCGUUGUCCGGAUUUAUUGGGCGUAAAGAGCUCGUAGGCGGUUUGGUAAGUCAGGUGUGAAAUCUCCACGCUCAACGUGGAGGGGCCACCUGAUACUGCCAUGACUGGAGUCCGGUAGAGGAGUGUGGAAUUCCCGGUGUAGCGGUGAAAUGCGUAGAUAUCUGGAGGAACAUCAGUGGCGAAGGCGACACCCUGGACUCAUACUGACACUGAGGUGCGAAAGCGUGGGGAGCAAACAGG
rnacentral:rRNA from 1 species